UACGAAGGGGGCUAGCGUUGCUCGGAAUCACUGGGCGUAAAGCGCACGUAGGCGGCUUUGUAAGUUAGAGGUGAAAGCCCGGAGCUCAACUCCGGAACUGCCUUUAAGACUGCAUCGCUUGAACGUCGGAGAGGUAAGUGGAAUUCCGAGUGUAGAGGUGAAAUUCGUAGAUAUUCGGAAGAACACCAGUGGCGAAGGCGACUUACUGGACGACUGUUGACGCUGAGGUGCGAAAGCGUGGGGAGCAAACAGG
rnacentral:rRNA from 1 species